rnacentral:rRNA from 1 species
GCGGUGGAGCAUGUGGUUUAAUUCGACGCAACGCGAAGAACCUUACCAGGGCUUGACAUCCCCUGACCGCGUAUGAAAGUACGUUUUCACCCUCGGGUGACAGGGAGACAGGUGGUGCAUGGUUGUCGUCAGCUCGUGUCGUGAGAUGUUGGGUUAAGUCCCGCAACGAGCGCAACCCCUACGUUUAGUUGCUAACGCGUGAAGGCGAGCACUCUAGACGAACUGCCGUUGACAAAACGGAGGAAGGUGGGAUGACGUCGAAUCAUCAUGCCCCUUAUGUUCUGGGCUACACACGUGCUACAAUGGCCGGUACAGACGGACGCAAAGCCGCGAGGUGGAGCAAAUCCUAAAAAGCCGGUCUCAGUUCGGAUUGCAGGCUGCAAUUCGCCUGCAUGAAGUCGGAAUCGCUAGUAAUCGCAGGUCAGCAUACUGCGGUGAAUACGUUCCCGGGCCUU